rnacentral:rRNA from 1 species
AGUGAACGCUGGCGGUAGGCCUAACACAUGCAAGUCGAACGGCAGCACAGUAAGAGCUUGCUCUUACGGGUGGCGAGUGGCGGACGGGUGAGGAAUACAUCGGAAUCUACUUUUUCGUGGGGGAUAACGUAGGGAAACUUACGCUAAUACCGCAUACGACCUACGGGUGAAAGCAGGGGAUCUUCGGACCUUGCGCGAUUGAAUGAGCCGAUGUCGGAUUAGCUAGUUGGCGGGGUAAAGGCCCACCAAGGCGACGAUUCGUAGCUGGUCUGAGAGGAUGAUCAGGCACAACUGAAAUGAGAAAAGGGCCAGAAUCCUAACGGAGGCAGGCGGUGGGAAAUAUGGACAAAGGGGGCAAGCCUGAUCCAGCCAAACCGGGGGGGGUAAGAAGGCCUUCGGGGUUUAAAACCCCUUUGUUGGGAAAGAAAAGGAGCCGGUUAAUUCCCCGGUGGUCUGACGGUACCCAAAGAAUAAGCCACGGCUAACUUCGGG